rnacentral:rRNA from 1 species
GACGAACGCUGGCGGCGUGCUUAACACAUGCAAGUCGAACGGAAAGGCCCAGCUUGCUGGGUGCUCGAGUGGCGAACGGGUGAGUAACACGUGGGUGAUCUGCCCCUAACUUCGGGAUAAGCUUGGGAAACUGGGUCUAAUACCGGAUAGGACAAUCGUUUAGUGUCGGUUGUGGAAAGUUUUUUCGGUUAGGGAUGAGCCCGCGGCCCAUCAGCUUGUUGGUGGGGUAAUGGCCUACCAAGGCGUCGACGGGUAGCCGGCCUGAGAGGGUGGACGGCCACAUUGGGACUGAGAUACGGCCCAGACUCCUACGGGAGGCAGCAGUGGGGAAUAUUGCACAAUGGGCGCAAGCCUGAUGCAGCGACGCCGCGUGGGGGAUGACGGCCUUCGGGUUGUAAACCUCUUUCGACAGGGACGAAGCUUUGGUGACGGUACCUGUAUAAGAAGCACCGGCUAACUACGUG